rnacentral:rRNA from 1 species
AGCAGCCGCGGUAAUUCCAGCUCCAAUAGCGUAUAUUAAAGUUGUUGCAGUUAAAAAGCUCGUAGUUGAAUUUCGGGGUCAAUACGUCGGUCGUGCCUCGGUACGCACUGACGUUAUUGAUCCCUCCCUUCUGACGAACCGUGAUGUCAUUAAUUUGGUGUUGCGGGGAAUCAGGACUGUUACCUUGAAAAAUUAGAGUGUUUAAAGCAGGCAAUCGCUCGAAUACAUUAGCAUGGAAUAAUGAAAUAGGACGUUCGAACCUAUUUUGUUGGUUUCUAGGAUCGACGUAAUGAUUAAUAGGGAUAGUUGGGGGCAUUAGUAUUCAAUUGUCAGAGGUGAAAUUCUUGGAUUUAUUGAAGACUAACUACUGCGAAAGCAUUUGCCAAGGAUGUUUUCAUUAAUCAAGAACGAAAGUUAGGGGAUCGAAGACGAUCAGAUACCGUCGUAGUCUUAACCAUAAACUAUGCCGACUAGGGAUCGGAUGAUGUUAAUUUUUAAUGACUCAUUCGGCGCCUUACGG